rnacentral:rRNA from 1 species
UACGUAGGGUGCGAGCGUUGUCCGGAAUUAUUGGGCGUAAAGAGCUUGUAGGCGGUUUUGUCGCGUCUGCUGUGAAAAUCCGGGGCUCAACCCCGGACUUGCAGUGGGUACGGGCAGACUAGAGUGUGGUAGGGGAGACUGGAAUUCCUGGUGUAGCGGUGAAAUGCGCAGAUAUCGGGAGGAACACCGAUGGCGAAGGCAGGUCUCUGGGCAGUAACUGACGCUGAGGAGCGAAAGCGUGGGGAGCGAACAGG